rnacentral:rRNA from 1 species
GAUGAACGCUGGCGGCGUGCUUAACACAUGCAAGUCGAACGAAGCACAUAAGACAGAUUCCUUCGGGAUGAAGACUUAUGUGACUGAGUGGCGGACGGGUGAGUAACGCGUGGGUAACCUGCCUUGUACUGGGGGAUAACAGUUAGAAAUGACUGCUAAUACCGCAUAAGCGCACAGUAUCACAUGAUACGGUGUGAAAAACUCCGGUGGUAUAAGAUGGACCCGCGUCUGAUUAGCUAGUUGGUAAGGUAAUGGCUUACCAAGGCGACGAUCAGUAGCCGACCUGAGAGGGUGACCGGCCACAUUGGGACUGAGACACGGCCCAGACUCCUACGGGUGGCUG